rnacentral:tRNA from 1 species
GCCCGGGUGGUGAAAUCGGUAGACACAGGGGACUUAAAAUCCCCCGCGCAAGCAUGCGGGUUCGAGUCCCGCCCCGGGCACAA